rnacentral:misc_RNA from 1 species
CCUAGAGUUGUAGGCUUUGCCUGCUAUCUCUUACCAUGUCUUUUGAGUACCUUCGUUUCCUCGGCGGGUCCGCCCGCCGAUUGGACAAUUUAAACCAUUUGCAGUUGCAGUCAGCGUCUGAAAAAACUUAAUAGUUA